rnacentral:misc_RNA from 1 species
UCUGGAUCUAGGUAUGGAGA